CCUACGGGCGGCAGCAGUGGGGAAUAUUGCACAAUGGGGGAAACCCUGAUGCAGCGACGCCGCGUGAGCGAGGAAGUAUUUCGGUAUGUAAAGCUCUAUCAGCAGGGACGAAAAAAGACGGUACCCCUUGAAUAAGCCACGGCUAACUACGUGCCAGCAGCCGCGGUAAUACGUAGGUGGCAAGCGUUGUCCGGAUUUACUGGGUGUAAAGGGCGUGCAGCCGGAGAGACAAGUCAGAUGUGAAAUCCACGGGCUCAACCCGUGAACUGCAUUUGAAACUGUUGGUCUUGAGUAUCGGAGAGGCAGGCGGAAUUCCUAGUGUAGCGGUGAAAUGCGUAGAUAUUAGGAGGAACACCAGUGGCGAAGGCGGCCUGCUGGACGACAACUGACGGUGAGGCGCGAAAGCGUGGGGAGCAAACAGGAUUAGAUACCCGAGUAGUC
rnacentral:rRNA from 1 species